rnacentral:ribozyme from 13 species
GCUGCUGACGGUGGACGUCUCGGGGGAUACCAUCCCUCGUGGGGCAAUUUCGAUAACGACAGCGGGGGAGAAUGCGGGGUGCCGCUCCAGAAACGAUUUUCGGGGCCGGAUAACGGUAACGGCGUCUUUUGGUACAGUUACGAUUGGGGUCACGCGCACGUGGUGGUCGUUUCGUCCGAGCACGAUUUGACGAGGGGGUCGGUGCAGCAUCGUUGGUUGGAACGGGC